rnacentral:lncRNA from 1 species
CUCAAUGUAAGAGGUGAAAUAUUAUGCUCUGCACUCUAUAGUGUAUUCAAAGUUUCCUCAAGAUAUUUUUUAGAAAAAGUAUGAUACUUGAUCGAUUGCAGGGUAUUAUUCUGGCCCUCUAUAAUAAAAUGGACUUUGUACACUUAGUAUGCUCUUUUUGACACCUUAAAUCAUUAAAAUUAAGCCAUCUCUCAUCUAAUUAGAUAAUUAAAAAGGCUUUCUUCAGUUUCCUCAUUUGGCUGUGAAAAACUUCAAAAUUUCAAACAGGAAAAAAAGGUUAAGUAUCCAGAACCAUGAAUUAAAAGUAUUUAAACAUUACAGGACUACUGACUUUGGUAGGGGAUGUUUGACUAAUUAAUGAUUCUUACUUUACAGAAAACAGCAUUACAUUUUAAUAGGAAAUUUCAACCUGAACAGUCCUCCUUCAUCAGAAGAAAGAUGGUGAACUUGAAUGUUUUUCACUUCUUUGCAAUGCACAAAGAAUUCUGUGCUGGUGCGAGCGUUAAAGAUAGAGUGUAACAGCAUUCUCCCCACCUUUCAACAUGUUCCAUGUACCAGGAGGCCGACAUUACCAUGUCUCAGGAUGAUCUCUCCGGAGCUGUAUAUUUACCCUUAUGAAAGACCAAGAUUCUCUCACCUAUUUUCUCUGAAAUCAAUAAGAAGACACACAGCCCCGUUUAUACAAGAAGCAGCAAUUCCCAGAGAAAAUAGCGUUUAA